UGGGGAAUAUUGCACAAUGGGCGCAAGCCUGAUGCAGCAACGCCGCGUGAGUGAUGAAGGUUCUCGGAUCGUAGAGCUCUGUUGCCAGGGAAGAAUGUCGUGGGGAGUAACUGCCCUGCGAAUGACGGUACCUGAGAAGAAAGCCCCGGCUAACUACGUG
rnacentral:rRNA from 1 species